rnacentral:rRNA from 1 species
GCUACGGGGUGCAGCAGUGAGGAAUAUUGGUCAAUGGGCGCGAGCCUGAACCAGCCAAGUAGCGUGAAGGAUGACUGCCCUACUGGUUGUAAACUUCUUUUAUAAAGGAGUAAAGUGAGGCACGUGUGCCUUUUUAUAUGUACUUUAUGAAUAAUGAUCGGCUACCUCCGUGCCAGCAGCCGCGGUAAUACGGAGGAUCCGAGCGUUAUCAGGAUUUAUUGGGUUUAAAGGGAGCGUAGAUGGGUUGUUAAGUCAGUUGGGAAAGUUUGCGGCUCAACCGUAAAAUUGAAAUGGAUACUGGCAGCCUUGAGUACAGUUGAGGUAGGCGGAAUUCGUGGUGUAGCGGUGAAAUGCUUAGA